GGGGACAUGGCUCAGUGGCAGAGCAUGUACUUAGAAUGCACAAGGCGCUGGGUUCCAUAUCCAGCCCCCCA
rnacentral:tRNA from 1 species